rnacentral:ncRNA from 1 species
AAUAAAUUUAUUAUGGUUUAAAAUAAUUUAUUUAUAGUUUAUUUUACAUAUAAAUUUUUGUAUUAAAUUAUUAUUAUUUUAAAAAUAUUUAAUUAAAAUUUAAGUAGUAAUUAAUAUUAAAAAUUUAAGAAAUUAAGAUUUAGUAAUAUUAAAAUUAAUAACAAAUUUUGUGCCAGCAGUUGCGGUUAUACAAAAAUUAAGUUAAAUUUUAUUAGUAAUUUAAUAAUUAAGUAUAAUAUUUAAUUAAAUUUUAAAUUAUUAAGUGAAAUUUUAAUUUAAAUAAAAUUAAUAUUAAAUUUAAUAUUUAAUAAAUUUUAAAAAUAAACUAGGAUUAGAUACCCUAUUAUAAAAAAAUUUAAAUUUAAUACUAAAAUAUUAGAUGAUUAUUCAUUGAAACUUAAAUAAGUUGGCGGUAUUUUAGUUUAUUUAGAGGAAUCUGUUUAAUAAUUGAUAAUCCACGAAUAAAUUUACUUAAUUUAUAAUUUUGUAUAUCGUUGUUUAAAAAAUAUUUUUAAAUAAUAAUAAUAUUUUAAAUUUAAUAAAUAAAAAUUAAAUCAGAUCAAGAUGCAGAUAAUAAUUAAGAAUAUAAUGGAUUACAAUAAAUUUAUUUAAAUGAAUUUUAAUUUGUAAAAAUUAAUUGAAGGUGGAUUUAAAUGUAAUUUUAUUUAAUUUAUUAAAAUGAUUUAAAAUUAAAAUAUGUACAUAUUGCCCGUCGCUUUCAUAAAUAAAUUGAAAUAAGUCGUAACAAAGUAGAGGUACUGGAAAGUGUUUCUAGAAAUAA